AGACUAUAAAGGCAAACCCGUCGAAAGGCGGCGGCGCAAAGCUACAGGGGCUAAACCGAACGGUAUGCCAGCCAGUUGCAGGA
rfam:Clostridium asparagiforme DSM 15981 genomic scaffold Scfld6, whole genome shotgun sequence.